rnacentral:rRNA from 1 species
CUCUUCUUGAAUAUAUUUUGAUGUAUGGCCUGCCCACUGAAUAUUGAAGGGCCGCGGUAUUUUGACCGUGCAAAGGUAGCAUAAUCAUUAGUCUUUUAAUUGUAGGCUGGAAUGAAUGGUUUGACGAGGUGUUAACUGUCUUUAUUUUUUUUUUGAACUUAAAUUUUAGGUUAAAAUGCCUAAAUGUUUUUUUGGGACGAGAAGACCCUAUAGAGUUUUAUAUAUUUUUAUUUUUUUUGUAUGAAAAUUUCUAAUGUAAAAAUUUAUUUUGUUGGGGUGAUGGAAAGAUUUAAUUAACUCUUUUUAUUUAUUUUAUAUUUAUUUAUAUGUAUUUGAUCCAUUUAUAUUGAUUAUAAGACUAAAUUACC